rnacentral:rRNA from 2 species
UAAAAUGACUCUCGGCAACGGAUAUCUAGGCUCUCGCAUCGAUGAAGAACGCAGCGAAAUGCGAUACUUGGUGUGAAUUGCAGAAUCCCGUGAAUCAUCGAGUCUUUGAACGCAAGUUGCGCCCGCGGUUUUUUGGCCAAGGGCACGUCUGCCUGGGCGUC